rnacentral:rRNA from 1 species
GCCUAUCAGCUAGUUGGCGGGGUAAAGGCCCACCAAGGCUACGACGGGUAGCUGGUCUUAGAGGACGACCAGCCACACUGGGACUGAGACACGGCCCAGACUCGUACGGGAGGCAGCAGUAGGGAAUCUUCCGCAAUGGACGCAAGUCUGACGGAGCAACGCCGCGUGAGUGAUGAAGGUUUUCGGAUCGUAAAGCUCUGUUGCCCUAGACGAACAGCAUGAGGAGUAACUGCCUUGUGUGUGACGGUAUAGGAGAAGAAAGCCCCGGCUAACUGCGUGCCAGCAGCCGCGGUAAUACGUAGGGGGCAAGCGUUGUCCGGAAUUAUUGGGCGUAAAGCGCGCGCAGGCGGUCAUUUAAGUCUGGUGUUUAAUCCUGGGGCUCAACCCCAGUUCGCAUCGGAAACUGGAUGACUUGAGUGUAAGAGAGGAAAGUGGAAUUCCACGUGUAGCGGUGAAAUGCGUAGAGAUGUGGAGGAACACCAGUGGCGAAGGCGACUUUCUGGCUUAUAACUGACGCUGAGGCGCGAAAGCGUGGGGAGCAAACAGGAUUAGAUACCCUGGUAGUCCACGCCGUAAACGAUGCAUACUAUGUGUCGGGGAUUCGAUUUCUCGGUGCCGAAGUUAACACAGUAAGUAUGCCGCCUGGGGAGUACGCUCGCAAGAGUGAAACUCAAGGAAUUGACGGGGACCCGCACAGCAGUGGAGUAUGUGGUUUAU